UUUAUUUAUUAUUUUUAAAUUCUAAUUGGACUGGUGAAUGGCUGAUUUCUCCUACAACGGGUAAAAACGAAUCGACUAUUGAAUAUUUAUCAACAUAUUUAUGGAAGGAGAAUCAGAUAGAUGCUGUACAAUCCGCAACGAGAUAUGGCGAUCAUAUUGGAAUUUGUGCUCUUGAAAAGGGGCAAUUUUUUCAGGUCAGUCCUAUUAAUUAUCCAGAUAUUAAAGAAUCAUAUCAACCAAUAGAUAAUUGCAAAGCAAAGAAAAAACCCGAAUUUCAUUUUGUAAACCCAUUUGUAUGGUGGUCAAAUCCUCACAUUUAUGUAUAUUAAUUUUUUUUUAGAGUUAUUGAAAAAAAUAAAAUGGGGUUUUAUGUGGAAUAUAGAAACAGAUACUAACAAAGAUAUAACAUAAUCGAAACACUGUUUUAUGUAAAACAUAUGAAGUGCUAUGGUG